GGGUGAAUGUGACCAGUUGGCGAAGUCGGCAGACUGUAAAUCUGUUACAUUAGAAACAUCGUAGGUUCGAUUCCUACUUCACUCA
rfam:Ruminococcus callidus ATCC 27760 genomic scaffold Scaffold21, whole genome shotgun sequence.